GCUUCAAAAGAAGCCCCUUUCAUUGCAAAAUAAACAGGAGCCAGCCGGCCCACCCUUUAAUACAGGACUGCCUGGGUGAUGGAGAAACUAGGGCACACAGAAGCUGAGGGAUUCGCCCAGGUCACACAGCUAGGAAGCAUUUGAGACAGGAUUCAAACUCAGACUGCCAAGGUCUCUUUGGAUCCUGACUGUUAUCCACAUUGUGUCAGAUAUUCCUCCUCUCUGUCAUCUGAAAAUUGCUAUGAGGAAACUGAGGCA